UACAGAGGUCUCAAGCGUUGUUCGGAUUCAUUGGGCGUAAAGGGUGCGUAGGCGGCGCGGUAAGUCGGGUGUGAAAUCUCGGAGCUUAACUCCGAAACUGCAUUCGAUACUGCCGUGCUUGAGGACUGGAGAGGAGACUGGAAUUUACGGUGUAGCGGUGAAAUGCGUAGAUAUCGGAAGGAACACCAGUGGCGAAAGCGGCUCCCUGGUCCAGCACCGACGUCAGGCACGAAAGCGUGGGGAGCAAACAGG
rnacentral:rRNA from 1 species